GACAUCCCCCAGGCUAGAGGUCCCCAAGGCUAGAGCCUAAUCCCCCAGGCUACAGGCUAGACAUCCACUGGCUAGAGGCUAGACAUCCACCAGGCUAGAGGUUAGACAUACCCCAGGCUAGAUAUCCCCCAGGCUCGAGUCUAGCGGUUCCCCAGGCUAGAGGCUAGAUGUCCCCCAGGCUAGAGUCUAGAUGAGUCUGGUGACAUACACCAGGCUAAAGGCUAAUGGUCCCCCAAGCUAGCAGCUAGGUGUCCCCCAGGCUAGUGGCUAGAUGUCCUACAAGUCUAGGUGUCCCCAGGCUAUAGGCUAAGGGGUCCCGCAGGCUAGAGGCUAGAGUUCCACCAGGCUAGAGGCUAGAUGUCCUACAAGGCUAGUUGUCCCCAGGGUAGAGGCUAGGUGUCCCGCAGGCUAGAGGCUAGUGGUCCACCAGGCUACAGGCUAGACUUCCCCCAGGCUAGAGACUAGACAUCCCCAAGGUUAGAUGUCCCCCAGGCUAGAGUCUAGACGUCCGUCGGGCUAGAGGCUAGACGUCCCCCAGGCUAGAGGCUAGACAUCCCCUAGGCUAGA
ensembl:lncRNA